GGGAAUCAGCCAGUCAGAGCACAGUAGCCUCAGAUAAAAAGGAGCUGCAGAGGCUAAGAUGAUCAGUUACUGACUAGAACCAGAGCGGCGAAGAGGGACUGAAAGGCUGUGAAACACCACAGCAGUAGCUGAGCUAUAGAAGGGGCCAGCUAGAAUGGUGGAGAAUUCCAUGGCCCAGAUCUUGGGCUGCUGGCACAAAGUAACUCUAGAACCAGUGUUGCUAGCCAUGGAGGUGUCAUGUAAGCUCCAACUUGGCUUUGACCUUCAGCCUGCUUCAGGUCUCUGAAUAUGAUCCUGAUUUGGCUUGUCUACAGACUCUGACCAGCAGCUUGUCCCCACACCUUGGUUUAGUGUUGCCCUCACCCCAGUCCUGACUCUACAGCCAGCUGCAACCUUUGCUACCUGUACUUGACCACAACUCCAACCACCAGGACUGACUGCCUAGAACCCAGAGCCUGCCACCAUGAUCUGACCCAGAAUGACACUUCUUGUGUUCUAAAAAUAUUUUUAUUUGUUCCUUUUCAGACUAAGCCCUUUUAGGUGCAAUGAACAAUAUUUACUUUUGUUGCUGUUUAUCUUAAUUAUACCAACUAAUACAGAACAAGGAAAAAUCUGUUUUGAAUUAAUAUUUUUCCAACACUGACGGCUGCAACCCUUUAAUUAUUCUCCUGGGUCUAGUAUUGAAGUUAUAUUAAUAAGCAUUUGAGUUCAUCCAGAAGUAAUAGCUGAACCUGUUAUUGGAUUUAGCAUCCCCCUAUCUUGUAUAUCUGGCUUUACCGUAUGCUUUAUGAUGAACUCAUUAAUUUUAUUCUAUCUCGCAUAAUAGACAAAUCACAAUAGGAGGCUGAGCUUUGAAGUUGUUUUAUCCGGUGAUGGAGUUCCCUUUACAGAGAGUUGGAAAAGAAAAUAUUUAGGGCAUGAAUGUUCUAAAUGUGCACAUCCUGUCUGAGGAAAAGAGAAACCAGGAAAUUUUAAUGUUUCUUUUACACUAAGGGAUAUUUUGAAAUGAGAGACCUGUUUUUAGUGGUGCUAAUGCCUUUAUGAAGCAAAACAAUCUCCUAAUAAGUGGGUAAAAUGGUAGGGCUUUUGCUCCAAUCCUACACACUACUCUACACAGGCAGACUCCUAAGACUGCUGGGUGAUAUUGCCCCUUCCCUAGGCUUCAGAGCGUGAGCCACAACUUCAGAGCACUGUCUAGGCAGCUAUUUUUAGUGACCUCUCUAGCCCAAGUCAGUUGACCCAGGCUGCGGGGCUUGCUGCCAUAGGUGUGUAGACGUACCCCGUUCAAGUCAGUGGGAAAGCUCCCGCUGACUUCAGUGUGGCCAGGAUUUCAGGUGUUGGCUUCAGCAUAGCCCUGAAUACCAUGCAGGAUCGCAGUUCAGUUUGCAAACACCAUCUGUGAUGUCACGUUCCUGCUCCUUCGAAGAUUGCCAGAGAUUAAAGAGCUAAUAGGGAAUUUGUAUGUCUAAUGUGGCAGACAAGCACAAUACAAAUUGUUGAAAGAAAACCAUUUAAGUUAUACAUCAAAAAUGAACCGGA